GAGUUUGAUCCUGGCUCAGGACGAACGCUGGCGGCGUGCCUAAUACAUGCAAGUCGAACGAACUCUGGUAUUGAUUGGUGCUUGCAUCAUGAUUUACAUUUGAGUGAGUGGCGAACUGGUGAGUAACACGUGGGAAACCUGCCCAGAAGCGGGGGAUAACACCUGGAAACAGAUGCUAAUACCGCAUAACAACUUGGACCGCAUGGUCCGAGCUUGAAAGAUGGCUUCGGCUAUCACUUUUGGAUGGUCCCGCGGCGUAUUAGCUAGAUGGUGGGGUAACGGCUCACCAUGGCAAUGAUACGUAGCCGACCUGAGAGGGUAAUCGGCCACAUUGGGACUGAGACACGGCCCAAACUCCUACGGGAGGCAGCAGUAGGGAAUCUUCCACAAUGGACGAAAGUCUGAUGGAGCAACGCCGCGUGAGUGAAGAAGGGUUUCGGCUCGUAAAACUCUGUUGUUAAAGAAGAACAUAUCUGAGAGUAACUGUUCAGGUAUUGACGGUAUUUAACCAGAAAGCCACGGCUAACUACGUGCCAGCAGCCGCGGUAAUACGUAGGUGGCAAGCGUUGUCCGGAUUUAUUGGGCGUAAAGCGAGCGCAGGCGGUUUUUUAAGUCUGAUGUGAAAGCCUUCGGCUCAACCGAAGAAGUGCAUCGGAAACUGGGAAACUUGAGUGCAGAAGAGGACAGUGGAACUCCAUGUGUAGCGGUGAAAUGCGUAGAUAUAUGGAAGAACACCAGUGGCGAAGGCGGCUGUCUGGUCUGUAACUGACGCUGAGGCUCGAAAGUAUGGGUAGCAAACAGGAUUAGAUACCCUGGUAGUCCAUACCGUAAACGAUGAAUGCUAAGUGUUGGAGGGUUUCCGCCCUUCAGUGCUGCAGCUAACGCAUUAAGCAUUCCGCCUGGGGAGUACGGCCGCAAGGCUGAAACUCAAAGGAAUUGACGGGGGCCCGCACAAGCGGUGGAGCACGUGGUUUAAUUCGAAGCUACGCGAAGAACCUUACCAGGUCUUGACAUACUAUGCAAAUCUAAGAGAUUAGACGUUCCCUUCGGGGACAUGGAUACAGGUGGUGCAUGGUUGUCGUCAGCUUGUGUCGUGAGAUGUUGGGUUAAGUCCCGCAACGAGCGCAACCCUUAUUAUCAGUUGCCAGCAUUAAGUUGGGCACUCUGGUGAGACUGCCGGUGACAAACCGGAGGAAGGUGGGGAUGACGUCAAAUCAUCAUGCCCCUUAUGACCUGGGCUACACACGUGCUACAAUGGAUGGUACAACGAGUUGCGAACUCGCGAGAGUAAGCUAAUCUCUUAAAGCCAUUCUCAGUUCGGAUUGUAGGCUGCAACUCGCCUACAUGAAGUCGGAAUCGCUAGUAAUCGCGGAUCAGCAUGCCGCGGUGAAUACGUUCCCGGGCCUUGUACACACCGCCCGUCACACCAUGAGAGUUUGUAACACCCAAAGUCGGUGGGGUAACCUUUUAGGAACCAGCCGCCUAAGGUGGGACAGAUGAUUAGGGUGAAGUCGUAACAAGGUAGCCGUAG
rnacentral:rRNA from 1 species